rnacentral:rRNA from 1 species
UACGUAGGGGGCAAGCGUUAUUCGGAAUCACUGGGCGUAAAGGGUGCGUAGGCGGCCUAUCAAGUCAGGGGUGAAAGGCAUUGGCUCAACCAAUGUAAGCCUUUGAAACUGUUAGGCUUGAGUGCAGGAGAGGUAAGUGGAAUUCCUAGUGUAGAGGUGAAAUUCGUAGAUAUUAGGAGGAACACCAGUGGCGAAGGCGACUUACUGGACUGUAACUGACGCUGAGGCAC